UGCGAAUACUACUCGCGCGAGCAGUCAGCCAGUCACGUACGUAACGCGGCACCAUCGUGAGGUCCACGUUUUUCGUAUCUUCUUUCAUGAGGGGACAAGUUGAUUUCGUCAGCGACGCGUGAUUGACCUGAUCGACUCUCUCAUCUGUAAUCUCGUACUCUGCGACACGCUUCUUCUCAUAGCAAACGUGACGAACGUCGUGAAUAGUACGCCGAUAGUGUGACCGCGCGCGAAUUUCAGUGAAUAGCUCUUCCUCAAGCUCUUCCUCUCUCUCUCUCUCUCUUUCUCAUACACACACACACACACACUCUGCUGCUCCGGCCUGCUGCAUUAAAGCAGAUACGAAGCAAGUCCCCAGACGCUGAUCUCUCAUGACCGUCGAAAAUGCGCAUCCGAAAAAUUUCGCUUACACGUCUACGAUAGCCGCGAUUCAGUCCUCGGUCAUUGUCACCCGACCGUCCGUCUGCACGCAACGGAUCUGUUUUCAUUCUCCGAAACGCGCGUCAGCAACAGCAGCAGCAGCAGUCUCUCCUGGAUCCGGAUCUCUCUCGCUCGACUCCGUGUUUCGCGAACGCAUUUGAAAUUUGAAUCCGGCGCGGGGUGUGUGUCUCACGUCGACCAAUCGACAAGACUGUCACGGCGUUGCGGUCCAAUCGAUGAUCGCGCUGUCGGAGGCUCGACUUGUACACGGCGUGACGUAACGCCGUUUAAAAGGCGAGCCGCGUGGGACGCGCGAAUCAGUCGCACGACGCACGUUGCACCGUGUGCAUUGCUGGAGCUGAGGUAUCGUCGGAUUCCCAUCGGCAAGAAAGAGAAAGAGAGAGAGAGAGAGAGACUAAAGUGUACAUUGUCGGCGUGUCCCUUCCCUCCCUUCCUCUUUCGCUCUUCCUCUCCUCCUUCUUCUUCUGUCGCUUUCUCCUCUGCUUCCCGGUUCCUCUUUCCUCGGUUUCCAUCCCACGUAUGCCGGAGGUUUCAUCGUCCAGCAUCGGUGGCUACAAUUAGACCAGGCACGAGAUCCCGUUGCUGAUCCAUUACGCUCUUGAGGGAUAAUUUUAUGCGCGACGAGCUGGCGCGCGAUCAGGAGCGGAGCGAUCACGCAGGCUGAAGGAAAACCUUUUAACGCAACGGUGCCUACGUUACGACUGUCUCACUGGGAGAUUGGAAAGACACGCGAAGGUUAACUUGCGUGCUUCCCGAGAGAUGCGGCCUCGCUGUUGGAGCUGAGACCGUCUCGUCGGCUGCGAAAAUUCGUGGGCCCACAUCCGAAAUCGAUCAC